rnacentral:rRNA from 1 species
UACGUAGGGUGCAAGCGUUGUCCGGAAUUAUUGGGCGUAAAAGAGCUCGUAGGCGGUUUGUCGCGUCGAAUGUGAAAAACCCGGGGCUCAACCCCCGGGCCUGCAUUCGAUACGGGCAGACUAGAGUUCGGUAGGGGAGUCUGGAAUUCCUGGUGUAGCGGUGAAAAUGCGCAGAUAUCGGGAGGAACACCGGUGGCGAAGGCGGUUCUCUGGGCCUGUACUGACGCUGAGGAGCGAAAGCGUGGGGAGCGAACAGG